rnacentral:tRNA from 1 species
GUCAGGAUGCUCGAGUGGUCUAAGGCGCUGUGUUAAGGUUUCAGUCUCUUCUGUAGGUGUGGGUUCAAAUCCCACUUCUGACA